UACGUAGGUGGCAAGCGUUGUCCGGAAUUAUUGGGCGUAAAGAGCGUGUAGGUGGGAUAUUAAGUCUGUCUUAAAAGUGCGGGGCUCAACCCCGUGAUGGGGCGGAAACUGGUAUUCUUGAGUGCAGGAGAGGAAAGCGGAAUUCCCAGUGUAGCGGUGAAAUGCGUAGAUAUUGGGAGGAACACCAGUGGCGAAGGCGGCUUUCUGGACUGUGUCUGACACUGAGGCGCGAAAGCCAGGGGAGC
rnacentral:rRNA from 1 species